rnacentral:rRNA from 1 species
AUACGGAGGAUCCGAGCGUUAUCCGGAUUUAUUGGGUUUAAAGGGUGCGUAGGUGGUUUGAUAAGUCAGCGGUGAAAGUUUGCAGCUUAACUGUAAAAAUGCCGUUGAAACUGUCGGACUUGAGUGUAAAUGAGGUAGGCAGAAUGCGUGGUGUAGCGGUGAAAUGCAUAGAUAUCACGCAGAACUCCGAUUGCGAAGGCAGCUUACUAAGCUACAACUGACACUGAAGCACGAAAGCGUGGGGAUCAAACAGGAUUAGAUACCCUGGUAGUCCACGCAGUAAACGAUGAUUACUAGCUGUUUGCGAUACACAGUAAGCGGCACAGCGAAAGCGUUAAGUAAUCCACCUGGGGAGUACGCCGGCAACGGUGAAACUCAAAGGAAUUGACGGGG